UCUUUUGAGCUCCAUUUGUCUUUAACCUGGAAAUAAAUGCGGUUUGUUUCUGUGUCCUGUCCGUGUGUUCCUUUUGGAAUAGGUCAGAGUAGCACUGUGGCUUUUCUUUUGUCUGUGGGCUCAGCAGCAGAUGGAUGUAGGGCUGCUUCGUGUGCCUGUCCUGAUGGCAAAAAGCAGAAGAGGAGUGAGCAAUGACUCCAUGCGCAGGAAUCUGCCCUUUGUUUUCUUUUUGUCCCACAGGACAGCCGCUGCUUGCUCCUGGGCCACAACAGCAGGCCUCCCUAGCUUCCUGGAAUUGUGGUACUUGGGCUGCCAGCUCUCUCCGUCAUGAAUAAAUAAACCGAAGUGAACCUCUGCCCUUUGCCUUUCCCGAAGCCAAAUGAAUCACCCAGCUCCUCCACUUCCCUCUCGCAGAAGCCAGUGAGAGCAUAGCUAGAGGGGACUCUACCCCAGGAAAAAUCCAGCCAGCCCCCUGAGUUCCCAGAACAAAGAAAUUCCAGUGCCGGUGGGGAGAGAGGAGCUUUGUUCUCAGCGUGCUGGGAUUAAUGACUGUGCCACCACACUUGGCUCAAGUCCCGGGCCAAAAUAGCCGAGUCCCGUGCCAGCAUGUGCGUCCUCGGAGGUCUUUCUCAUCUUGCUCGGCUUCGAGAAAUCCAGCUGAAGCGACUGAGUCCACGAUGGAGACAGAAAAGGAGCAGUUCUGUAAACUCUUUAUUGGUGGCUUAAGCUUUGAAACUACAGAAGAAAGUUUGAGAAACUAGUAUGAGCAACAGGGAAAGCUCACAGACUGUGUGGUUAUGAGAGAUCCUGCAAGCAAAAGAUCAAGGGGAUUUGGAUUUGUAACAUUCUCAUCCAUGGUUGAGGUUGAUGCUGCCAUGGCUGCAAGGCCUCAUUCCAUUGAUGGCAGAGUAGUUGAGCCAAAGCGUGCUGUAGCAAGAGAGGAGUCUGGAAAA